rnacentral:rRNA from 1 species
AAGCCUGAUGCAGCAACGCCGCGUGAGGGACGAAGGCCUUCGGGUUGUAAACCUCUUUUAGUAGGGAAGAAGCGAAAGUGACGGUACCUGCAGAAAAAGCACCGGCUAACUACGUGCCAGCAGCCGCGGUAAUACGUAGGGUGCAAGCGUUGUCCGGAAUUAUUGGGCGUAAAGAGCUCGUAGGCGGUUUGUCGCGUCUGCUGUGAAAACUGGAGGCUCAACCUCCAGCCUGCAGUGGGUACGGGCAGACUAGAGUGCGGUAGGGGAGAUUGGAAUUCCUGGUGUAGCGGUGGAAUGCGCAGAUAUCAGGAGGAACACCGAUGGCGAAGGCAGAUCUCUGGGCCGUAACUGACGCUGAGGAGCGAAAGCAUGGGGAGCGAACAGGAUUAGAUACCCUGGUAGUCCAUGCCGUAAACGUUGGGAACUAGAUGUAGGGGCCAUUCCACGGUUUCUGUGUCGCAGCUAACGCAUUAAGUUCCCCGCCUGGGGAGUACGGCCGCAAGGCUAAAACUCAAAGGAAUUGACGGGGGCCCGCACAAGCGGCGGAGCAUGCGGAUUAAUUCGAUGCAACGCGAAGAACCUUACCAAGGCUUGACAUAUACCGGACACGGCUAGAGAUAGUCGCCCCGCAAGGGUCGG